GAUGAACGCUGGCGGCGUGCCUAAUACAUGCAAGUCGAGCGAACAGACGAGGAGCUUGCUCCUCUGACGUUAGCGGCGGACGGGUGAGUAACACGUGGAUAACCUACCUAUAAGACUGGGAUAACUUCGGGAAACCGGAGCUAAUACCGGAUAAUAUAUUGAACCGCAUGGUUCAAUAGUGAAAGACGGUUUUGCUGUCACUUAUAGAUGGAUCCGCGCCGGAUUAGCUAGUUGGUAAGGUACCGGCCUACCAAGGCAACGUUGCGUAGCCGAUCUGAGAGGAUGAUCAGCCACACUGGAACUGAGACCCGGUCCAGACUCCUACGGGAGGCAGCAGUGGGGAAUCUUCGACAAUGGGCGAAAGCCUGAUCCAGCCAUACCGCGUGGGUGAAGAAGGCCUUCGGGUUGUAAAGCCCUUUUGUUGGGAAAGAAAAGCAGCAGGUUAACACCCCGCUGUUCUGACGGUACCCAAAGAAAAAGCCCCGGCUAACUUCGUG
rnacentral:rRNA from 1 species